UACGUAGGGGGCUAGCGUUGUCCGGAUUUAUUGGGCGUAAAGAGCGUGUAGGCGGCCAUGUAGGUCCGGUGUGAAAACUCGAGGCUUAACCUCGAGAUGUCAUCGGAAACCAUUUGGCUAGAGUCCGGAAGAGGAGAGUGGAAUUCCUGGUGUAGCGGUGAAAUGCGCAGAUAUCAGGAAGAACACCCGUGGCGAAGGCGGCUCUCUGGGACGGUACUGACGCUGAGACGCGAGAGCGUGGGGAGCAAACAGG
rnacentral:rRNA from 1 species